rnacentral:lncRNA from 1 species
AUGCAGGCCCCCUCUCUGCCCCCUGCCCCCCCAGGCACCUUGCGGCUGCAGUACUCCAACACCAUGUACACGUGGUCACGGUCAGCAAAGUGUCCGUGGAAGGCCACAAUGUUGCGGUGUCGCAGGCGGCUGUGCAGGGCGAUCUCCCGCUCCACCUGUGGGCAUGGCCCCCCGUGGACACACCCCGCAGUAGUAUCCCGGCCCGGGGCACACACCUCCCCCUCCAAGGGCAGGAAUGCUCUGGGGGCGCUGCAGGUGUGGGGGCCCCUGGGCACGGACGGGCGGGUGUACCUUCCCACGGGGACGCAGAUGACCGGCCCCGCCACCGCCACUGCCACGUGGCACCACCUUGAGGGCAAACACGGUGCUGGUGGACAUGUCGGUCAGCUUGUAGCAGCGGCUGAAGGCGCCCUGUGGGGGAGCGGGAUUCACCAGCUGGCAGGACAGGUGCACACACGUGGGGACAGGUGCACACUCGUGGGGACAGGUGCACACACGUGGGGACAGGUGCAUACACGCGGGGACAGGUGCACACUCGUGGGGACAGGUGCACACACGUGGGGACAGGUGCACACACGCGGGGACAGGUGCAUACACGCGGGGACAGGUACACACACGCGGGGACAGAUGCACACUCGUGGGGACAGGUGCACACACGUGGGGACAGGUGCACACACGUGGGGACAGGUGGCCAAGCCGCUUCACACACACACACACCUGAGACGCACAGACGCAGCUCACACCCUCAUACCUGGACACACAAGGCAACACUUGGACACACACGAAGGCCCAGGGGCACAGACUCAGACACAUCCCGACGUGGACACGUGUCGCCCACGACCACAAUACAGGAUCCCAACACGCGAAGCGGGAGAUUAUAACGCAUUCACGGGCACACACACCUGGAGACAACACAGCCGAGUCUACACCGCGGCACCGAGACCCGUAACACACACGGGCGCACCCCCUGCACCCCGGCACGCACAACCCACACGCUCGGCACAACGCGCCCAACGCCGGGCCCGCCACAGAACGCAUCUCGGACCCCGCGGGAACCCAACGCCGGACCCCGAUCUCGCGCGGACACACGCCCCCCGCAGAGACAGGCGCCGGGAUGCACAGCGGCUGCUUGGCGCCAAGCUCGCCAUCGCGCGCGCACGCCUCCCCAUCCCGGCCCCGCCGGGACCCCCCGCCCGGCGCCGGCCCCCCUGGCCGCGGACUCGGGGCGCCGGGGUCCCUCCCCACCUUGCCGAUCAGCUUCCCGCGCCUGUAGACGCGCCCCGAGCCCGGGUCGCGCAGGAACACGGAGACCAGCGGGCGGCAAGCGCGCCGCCGCGGCCCGGGCUCCAUCCCGCCGGGGGCCUGGCGGGCGCAGGGCGCGGGCACCGGCGCAGCCUCGGGCCGGACCACCGCGCCGCCGCUCCGGGGCCGCGUCUCAUUGGCCGCGGGGCGGGGGGCGGAGUCCCGACGCGCGGGGCCGGGAGGGGGCGGGCGCGCGGGGGGCGCCGCGCUGGCGCGGGCUCCAGGGACCAGAGUGGCGCUCGCGCCCCGCGCCCCAACCCGCAGCUCCCCCCGGGGCGCGCUUGGCCCGCUCGCUCUUCCAGUCCUGCUGCGAACCGCAACGCGCCCAUUUCACGGAGCGGGAAACUGAGGCCAGAGGGCUUAUCUCCUCCUCUCCGAGGCCGCCCAGGGAAAGGCGGGUGGGAGGUUGGGGGGGGGGGCUUGGCACGGCUCCCCCCAAAGUCAGGAAUACGUGUGACGGUCCGUUUCCCCGCCGAAGCCAAGUCCCCGAGGCCCACAUGA